rnacentral:rRNA from 1 species
AUACGGAGGGGGCUAGCGUUGUUCGGAAUUACUGGACGUAAAGGGCGCGUAGGCGGAUUGUCAAGUCAGAGGUGAAAGCCCUGGGCUCAACCUGGGAACUGCCUUUGAAACUAACGGUCUAGAGUCCGAGAGAGGAUGGCGGAAUUCCCAGUGUAGAGGUGAAAUUCGUAGAUAUUGGGAAGAACACCAGUGGCGAAGGCGGCCAUCUGGCUCGGUACUGACGCUGAGGCGCGAAAGCGUGGGGAGCAAACAGGAUUAGAAACCCCAGUAGUCC